ACGAACGCUGGCGGCGUGCCUAAUACAUGCAAGUCGAGCGGAAUGAUGAAGAAGCUUGCUUCUUCUGAUUUUAGCGGCGGACGGGUGAGUAACACGUGGGCAACUACCUUGUAGAUUGGGAUAACUCCGGGAAACCGGGGCUAAUACCGAAUAAUCCAUUUUGCUUCAUGGCGAGAUGUUGAAAGACGGUUUCGGCUGUCACUACAAGAUGGGCCCGCGGCGCAUUAGCUAGUUGGUAGGGUAAUGGCCUACCAAGGCGACGAUGCGUAGCCGACCUGAGAGGGUGAUCGGCCACACUGGGACUGAGACACGGCCCAGACUCCUACGGGAGGCAGCAGUAGGGAAUCUUCCACAAUGGACGAAAGUCUGAUGAAGCAACGCCGCGUGAGUGAAGAAGGUUUUCGGAUCGUAAAACUCUGUUGUAAGGGAAGAACACGUACGAGAGUAACUGCUCGUACCUUGACGGUACCUUAUUAGAAAGCCACGGCUAACUACGUG
rnacentral:rRNA from 1 species